rnacentral:rRNA from 1 species
GACAGAGGGUGCAAACGUUGUUCGGAUUUACUGGGCGUAAAGGGUGCGUAGGUGGCGGGGUAAGUCUGGUGUGAAAGCUCCGAGCUCAACUCGGAAAAGCAUUGGAAACUAUCCCGCUUGAGGGUCGGAGGGGAGACUGGAAUUCUCGGUGUAGCAGUGAAAUGCGUAGAUAUCGAGAGGAACACCAGUGGCGAAGGCGAGUCUCUGGACGACUCCUGACACUGAGGCACGAAAGCUAGGGGAGCAAACAGG